rnacentral:rRNA from 1 species
GAUGAACGCUAGCGGCAGGCCUAAUACAUGCAAGUCGGACGGGAUUCAGGAGCUUGCUUCUGAUGAGAGUGGCGCACGGGUGCGUAACACGUAUGUAACCUACCUUUAUCAGGGGGAUAGCCUCUCGAAAGAGAGAUUAAGCCCGCAUAAAAUCACAGCACAGCAUUGUGUAAUGAUCAAAUAUUUAUAGGAUAAAGAUGGGCAUGCGGAACAUUAGCUAGAUGGCGGGGUAACGGCCCACCAUGGCGACGAUGUUUAGGGGAUCUGAGAGGAUGGCCCCCCACACUGGUACUGAGACACGGACCAGACUCCUACGGGAGGCAGCAGUAAGGAAUAUUGGUCAAGGGGCGGAAGCCUGAACCAGCCAUGCCGCGUGCAGGAAGACGGCCCUACGGGUUGUAAACUGCUUUUAUACGGGAAUAAACCCAGAUACGUGUAUCUGGCUGAAUGUACUGUAAGAAUAAGGAUCGGCUAACUCCGUG